AGUGUCUCUCAAUCCAGAUGGAGCUUUAAAGUGUCGUUCUAACCAAUCAAACAGGAUCAAACAUGAGAUAUAAAUGGAGUGUAGAAAGGAAAACGCAUACAGAAAACUGCUGGAGCAUGAGAAUCCACAGAACAGCAAAAAACAAGAGAACUAGAAAAGAGGCCAGAAAUGAGACACAAACCAGUGGAUCUCGAGAGAAAAGCAGACGGAGACUUGUUAGACGGAGCAGUAUGGAUAGAAUAAAUCCAGAAUUCUAAUGUGAUUUAGAUGAGCCUGUAAAGAGUCACUCUGAGUUAAAGCUGAGGUGAGAUUCUCACAUCAAAACCCUUCAGAUGUUCUCAAGGACAAACACCAGACCUCUGAGACACCAGCAGCUGAAAACAGAUCAUCUUCAUCAUCAUCGCCAUCAUCUUCAUCAUCAUCAUCAUCACAGAUUCCAUUGCUAACUAUUCUCUCAGAUCUUUAUCUCAAAUGCUGCACUUUAAUGACAACAAUUUAACUCGAUGAAUGUUUGAUCUGCAUCUGUGUGACACAGAGACUUUUUUUUACAAAAUAUUUUUAAUUUUGCACGGCCUCAUACAUUUCAUGUAUUAGGUAAUUUUUAAUAUUCUUGUACAUUUUUACAUGCUUUAGAUUGUUUUCUGGAUAUGUUUGUACCGUUUAUACCAUUUAUUUUAUAUGCAUUUAUUAUUCAUGUUUUCACCAUAUUCUACAUUUAUGCAACAAGCACUGGAGAUGAUAAUGGUUCGGUAUAUUUCAUUUGUGCAGUUGACAUAUUUAGCUAUGCAGAACUUAUUUGUACAGAGUAGAGGCCAAAUGUGUUUUCUGGCCUGGAAAAAUUUAUAUAUUGUACAUAUUUUUUGUAUCUAUAAAAUGCUACAUGCACUUAAAUCUUAAGUGCUCCUGAUUAGCCUAAAUGUGUCUAUGUUUACGCGAAUCAUUCAUGAUCCAGCUUCACCAACAGAAGAAUUGAGUGUAAGGU